GUGCUGCAGGCUAUGAGGACAGAACAGAACUCAUUGUCAGCACUGUCAUCGCCUUGCAGUAGAAGAUAACUCAAAGUGGCAAGCAUAUCCAAAACAUCUUCUUCCACCUAUUUUCCCAAACAACCCUGUGAGGAUUUUUGGUGGACCAGAAUGUAGGUUGUAGAGCUUCAUGAACUCUCCUCAAAGGCAACAUUUUGGACCAUUUUCAAAUCUUGAAUAUAACCUCUUUGCAGAAGAAAUACUCUGACUCUGCUCUUUCUAGCAUCAAAAACUCUAUACAUCUUUCUUGUCUAUCUCUAUGCUUAAAUUAAAUAACUACUUAACUGAUAUCUACAUGGUAUGCCAUCAACCAUGUUUUACUAACAAAGGCACAUAACAAACCAUAUGGCUUUAGCCCAUUUGCAAUAUUUGGAGCAGACGGUUUGUAUUGUGAGUCAAGCUCUGGGGAAAUUUCGCUAAGGGUGAUUUUUAAAUAUGACUUAUUCAAAAACAGUUCAUUUCAUAAUCAGAAGACCUAAUACAAUGCAAACAGAAGUAACAUUGCCAAGAUGGGACUCAUUGUUAGACACUUUAGUGUUUCUUCCAUUCAGAGAAACCAUAAGCUAUGGGAUAUAGGGAAUAUUUUCUGAUUAAAAAAGAAAAAGAAAAAGUAUUCUUCAGGGAAUGAAUAAGCAAUAAGAAAUAAGACCAAUGGAAAUGUCAAACUUCUACCCUUUUCACUUACAUUUCCAUAAUCUGUACUGACAGCAUUCAAUUCAUGUUUGCUUGCCUGACUUAUAGCAUAAUGUUAUAUGAGGCUAACAAUCAUAGGAAUUCUACAGAAAAUUAGUAAAUCUCCAAUUAUUUUUCCUUUGGUAUCAAAGGAGUUAACUGGCAGGUGCAUUAUGUGAUGGGUGUCCAUGAUGACAAUAGCAAAAUUGUGACAAAUCUUAUUUUAAAAAUCAUCAUAAAUUUCUACAUUCACAGAGACAUAUUCUAUUUAAAUGAGACCAUUUUGUAACCAAAGCAAUUUGCAUUGGGCUCAUUCCUAUCUAUAGUCAUCAUAUAUCAUAUGAAUAUAAUUCCUAUUUAGAGCUGGGAUUUGAAUAAGGGCAAAGAAUUAUACUGUGCCAAUUUGCUGCAGAUCAUAAUUAGAAAAGAUAGCUCACAUUUAGAAUCUCUGCCAAAUCAAUUUCAUGAAGUUUCAUAGCCUACUUAAUAAAGAUGAUAAUUGUCCAACAAACACAUUCAUUUGUCUAAUGAAAACAUGAUUCAAUAUUUGGGAAAUUUUGAGUUAUGGGUAACAGUGUUCUUUUCAGGACAUGCAUGUUUUUCUUUUGAAUUUUUUUUUAUUUUUAAACAAAACAUAAAACAACCAUCAUCCAUUACAAUUACAGAAAGUGUGUUGAUUAGUUACAGAUCUUUUGUGCUUAAUCCCAUAUCCAAAACACUCUUAUUUGACAAUUUAUUAUAUCCCUUUGUAUUGUUAUUCUCAUUUACCAAUCAUUUAACAGUGGCUUAUCUUCCAUAAAAACCCACUUCAUACAUUUUAUUAUUACAUUCAUUUCAUUUCCAUGCUUUAUUAUCUAGCCAUUGAUAAAAUAAAUCCCAUAUCAAAUAA